rnacentral:misc_RNA from 1 species
UCGAGCGGCCGCUUCGCAACGCGACGCUCCUUCGCGCCAAUUUCGGCCCGCCAUCUUUGAAUCUCGAAUAUAGAACUCGGUUGUGUUGGAAAUCAAAUUAGAACAAUUAAAUUAAAAAGAAAUGUUUCUGACAGUGUCCUAAAAAGUAUUUAAUAUUUCAACAGUAAAUUAUAGUUUGUUAGUUUGCAAAGUUUAUGUAGCGUUGAUGUUCUAGAGUUUUAAAAGUGUAAAGUUUGUGAAAGUGUGUUUGAUGUUUUUAAUUUAUUUAUUGUAGUUGACUGUGUAAGGACACCAGUAUUUAAGAUUUCGUGCGGCACUGGUUAAAUACAACAAACAAGCAAGAUGUACGGGCUACUGCUGGAGAAUAUGGCGGAGUACAUUCGACAGACGUACGGAGAGGAGCGGUGGGAGGACAUCAGACGGCAGGCGGGGGUGGAGCAGCCCUCCUUCUCAGUGCACCAGGUGUACCCGGAGAAUAUGAUCGCACGACUCGCGAAGAAGGCGCAGGAGGUACUAGGCAUAUCAGAACGGGAGUUUAUGGACCAAAUGGGUGUAUAUUUCGUCGGUUUCGUCUCACAGUAUGGCUACGACAGAGUUUUAUCAGUGCUAGGAAGACACAUGAGAGAUUUCUUAAAUGGAUUGGAUAAUUUACAUGAGUAUUUAAAGUUUAGCUACCCAAGAAUGAGAGCACCCAGUUUUAUAUGCGAGAAUGAGACUAGGCAAGGUUUGACAUUACAUUAUAGGACAAAAAGAAGAGGAUUUGUAUACUAUGCCAUGGGACAAAUACGAGAGGUAGCUCGCCACUUUUAUCACAAAGAGAUGAGGAUUGAAUUACUAAGAGAGGAGUUACUAUUCGACACGGUCCAUGUGACGUUUCAACUGACGUUCGACAACAGAGCAUUUACCCUGGCGUCUUUGGCGAUGACCAGAGAAGAGAAGCAUCUUCCAAUAAGUGCGUCCGUGUUAUUCGAGAUAUUCCCCUUCUGUAUCGUUUUUGGGUCAGACAUGGUGGUGCGCAGUAUCGGCAACUCGCUGAUGGUGAUCCUGCCAGACCUCGUCGGUAAGAAGAUCACGAACUGGUUCGACCUCGUGCGCCCGCUCAUCGCAUUCAAAUUCCAAACUAUCCUGAACCGCACCAACAACAUCUUCGAGCUGGUGACUGUAGAAGCCGUGAUGCAUGAGAAAGCUCCAGACAAACGGAACGAACUGCUUCGACUGUCUGACGAGUCCGAUGGACCUACCGAGAAGAACUUGCGGCUUAAAGGUCAGAUGAUCUACAUGGACAACUGGCGGAUGAUGAUGUACUUGGGGACUCCAGUGAUGCCGGAUCUGUCAGCACUCGUGUCCACGGGGCUCUACAUCAACGACUUGUCCAUGCAUGACUUUAGCAGAGAUCUAAUGCUGGCCGGCACACAGCAAUCCGUAGAAUUAAAAUUAGCCCUAGACCAAGAGCAGCAGAAGAGUAAGAAGUUGGAGGAAUCCAUGAGGAAACUGGAUGAGGAGAUGAAGAGGACAGACGAGCUGCUGUACCAGAUGAUACCGAAGCAGGUGGCCGACCGGCUGCGGAACGGAGAGAACCCGAUCGACACUUGUGAGAUGUUCGACAGCGUGUCGAUCCUGUUCUCCGACGUGGUGACCUUCACGGAGAUAUGUUCCCGCAUCACGCCGAUGGAGGUGGUCUCCAUGUUGAAUGCCAUGUACUCCAUAUUCGAUACCCUCACCGAGAGGAACCGGGUCUAUAAGGUAGAGACAAUAGGGGACGCGUACAUGGUGGUAUCUGGUGCUCCGGAGAAGGAAGACAACCACGCAGAGAAGGUGUGCGACAUGGCGCUGGAUAUGGUCGACGCGAUCACUGACCUUAAGGACCCUAGCACAGGAUCUCACCUGUCCAUCCGAGUGGGCGUACACUCAGGCGCAGUGGUGGCGGGUAUCGUCGGCCUCAAGAUGCCCCGGUACUGCCUCUUCGGGGACUCGGUGAACACGGCCUCCCGCAUGGAGUCCACCUCAGAGGCCAUGCGGAUCCACAUCUCGCAGACCACUAGGGAGCUGCUGUCGCCUUCUUACAUGGUUGAGGAACGGGGGGAGAUACAGGUGAAGGGGAAAGGAGCAAUGAAGACCUACUGGCUAGAAGGCCGCGAGUCCCGACCUUCUCUCACUAAAGUAAUCUCCCCACAACUACAACCUGGCGCCGAGCUGGAGUGGGAGCGAGCUGCUGACGUGAGGGACAGCAUCGCAGAGCAUUCAGCUCAGAACAACAAGGAGCUGGCUGAGCGUAACCUGGCCAACUCUGCUCCUAACUCUCUGGCUCAUUAUAAUAGCAACACCAACAUGGCGCCAUCGCCAACAAUCCGCAGCUCGCAGAUCUCGACUCCCGCGCCGACUGUGACGUCACCGGCGGAAGAGAGACGCAUGUACUCUCCCGUCACCUUUCAGGAUGUCGCACGACGGAGUAUAGCCAACUCACCGAAUAGACAUGAAACUGUUAGAGAAUCGCGAUCGAACUCGGCGAGCGUGGGAGGUUGGACUGACGCUGAGUCCCUAGACCCAACUAAGGCCAUGGAUAGUCUCAAUUCUUCCUUCUGAGUAGUGACGGCGCCUGCGCCGAAUGAGCGUGAGUUGGAGCCCUUUCAUCUGCCCGGGUUCCUCCCGCGGAUGUCGCCAACGCACUCGGCGCCGGCCGCCGUCGACUCCUGCGCCACUCUCCGGCCAGACACC